rnacentral:rRNA from 1 species
UACAGAGGGCUCAAGCGUUGUUCGGAUUCAUUGGGCGUAAAGGGUGCGUAGGCGGCGCGGUAAGUCGGGUGUGAAAUCUUGGAGCUUAACUCCGAAACUGCAUUCGAUACUGCGGUGCUUGAGGACUGGAGAGGAGACUGGAAUUCAUGGUGUAGCAGUGAAAUGCGUAGAGAUCAUGAGGAACACCAGUGGCGAAGGCGGCUCUCUGGACAGUUCCUGACACUGAGACACGAAGGCCAGGGGAGCAAACGGG